rnacentral:rRNA from 1 species
AGAGUUUGAUCCUGGCUCAGGACGAACGCUGGCGGCGUGCCUAACACAUGCAAGUCGAACGCUCUCGACCUUCGGGUCACAUGAGAGAGUGGCGAACGGGUGAGUAACACGUGAGAAACCUACCCCAGAGACCGGGAUAACUAUCGGAAACGAUAGCUAAUACCGGAUAUCCCCUUCGGACCGCAUGGUCUGAUGUGGAAAUGCUCCGGCGCUCUGGGAGGGUCUCGCGGCCUAUCAGUUAGUUGGUGGGGUAAUGGCCUACCAAGACGACAACGGGUAGCUGGUCUGAGAGGACGAUCAGCCACACUGGAACUGAGACACGGUCCAGACUCCUACGGGAGGCAGCAGUGGGGAAUCUUGCACAAUGGGCGAAAGCCUGAUGCAGCAACGCCGCGUGGGGGAUGAAGGCCUUCGGGUCGUAAACCCCUUUCAGUAGGGAAGAAAUUGACGGUACCUACAGAAGAAGCCCCGGCCAACUACGUGCCAGCAGCCGCGGUAACACGUAGGGGGCGAGCGUUGUCCGGAAUUACUGGGCGUAAAGAGCUCGUAGGUGGUUUGGUAAGUCAGAUGUGAAAACUCAGGGCUCAACCCUGAGACGCCAUCUGAAACUGCCAUGACUUGAGUUCGGUAGAGGAAUGUGGAAUUCCUGGUGUAGCGGUGAAAUGCGCAGAUAUCAGGAGGAACACCAACAGCGAAGGCAGCACUCUGGGCCGAUACUGACACUGAGGAGCGAAAGCAUGGGGAGCAAACAGGAUUAGAUACCCUGGUAGUCCAUGCCGUAAACGCUGGGCACUAGGUGUGGGACCAUAUCAACGGGUUCCGUGCCGUAGCUAACGCAUUAAGUGCCCCGCCUGGGGAGUACGGCCGCAAGGCUAAAACUCAAAGGAAUUGACGGGGGCCCGCACAAGCGGCGGAGCAUGUUGCUUAAUUCGAGGCAACGCGAAGAACCUUACCUAGGUUUGACAUGUAUGUGACAGGUGUAGAGAUACACCCUUCUUCGGGGCUUUACACAGGUGGUGCAUGGCUGCCGUCAGCUCGUGUCUUGAGAGGUUGGGUUAAGUCCCGCAACGAGCGCAACCCUCGUCCUAUGUUGCCAGCACGUAAUGGUGGGGACUCGUAGGAGACUGCCGGCGUCAACUCGGAGGAAGGUGGGGACGACGUCAAGUCAUCAUGCCCCUUAUAUCUAGGGCUGCAAACAUGCUACAAUGGCCGGUACAACGGGCUGCUACACCGCGAGGUGAAGCGAAUCCCUUAAAGCCGGUCUCAGUUCGGAUUGAAGUCUGCAACUCGACUUCAUGAAGCUGGAGUCGCUAGUAAUCCCGGAUCAGCAACGCCGGGGUGAAUACGUUCCCGGGCCUUGUACACACCGCCCGUCACACCACGAAAGUUGGCAACACCCGAAGUCAGUGGCCUAACCCUUACGGGAGGGAGCUGCCGAAGGUGGGAUUCGCGAUUGGGGUGAAGUCGUAACAAGGUAACC